rnacentral:tRNA from 1 species
GCUGCUGUAGCUCAGUGGUAGAGCACGUCAUUGGUAAUGACGGGGUCGUAGGUCCGAUUCCUAUCAGCAGCACCA